GAGUUUGACAUGGCUCAGAUUGAACGCUGGCGGCAUGCCUUACACAUGCAAGUCGAACGGCAGCAUGAUCUAGCUUGCUAGAUUGAUGGCGAGUGGCGAACGGGUGAGUAAUACAUCGGAACGUGCCCUGUAGUGGGGGAGUAACUAGUCGAAAGAAUUAGCUAAUACCGCAUACGACCUGAGGGUGAAAGUGGGGGACCGGCAAGGCCUCAUGCUAUAGGAGCGGCCGAUGUCUGAUUAGCUAGUUGGUGGGGUAAA
rnacentral:rRNA from 1 species